rnacentral:misc_RNA from 1 species
UCCGGCUUAUCACCGGCAGUUUCCGUAUAGUUCCCGGCAUUACCCGCUGGCAAAUAAGGAUGAGGGUUUCGCUCGUUGCGGGACUUAACCCAACAUCUCACGACACGAGCUGACGACAGCCAUGCAACACCUGUGUGUGGUCCAGCCGAACUGAUGAAAAGCAUUUCUGCGAUUCUCGACCACCAUGUCAAGGGUUGGUAAGGUUUUUCGCGUAACAUCGAAUUAAACCGCAUGCUCCACCGCUUGUGCGAGCCCCCGUCAAUUCCUUUGAGUUUUAAUCUUGCGACCGUACUCCCCAGGCGGAGUGCUUAAUGCGUUAACUACGAAACCGAAGGAUAAUCCCCCGAUAUCUAGCACUCAUCGUUUACAGCGUGGACUAC